UCCUGAACUCAAACAGGCAAGAUUACCCGCUGAAUUUAAGCAAAUUAAUAAGCGGAGGAAAAGAAACUAAACAGGAUUCCCCUAGUAACGGCGAGUGAAGCGGGAACAGCUCAAGCUUGAAAUCUGCACCUUGUAAAGAGGGUGCCGAGAUUGCUAGCUUUUGGAGGCACCAUUGAGCGGCUAGUCUUGGUAAAAGUCCUUUUGAAUAAGGCAUCAAAGAGGGUGAAAAUCCCGUAUUUGACCAGGAAUGCAAAAUUAGCAGCGUUAUCAGGUGUUUUCUUCGAGUCGGGUUGUUUGGGAAUGCAGCCCUAAUUAGGAGGUAAAUUUCUUCUAAAGCUAAAUAUCAGCAAGAGACCGAUAGCAUACAAGUACCGUGAGGGAAAGAUGAAAAGCACUUUGAAAAGAGAGUGAAAAGUACGUGAAAUUGUUGGAAGGGAACCGGUUGAUGGCCAAGCUUUUUUUUCCCUUUUCUUUUUAAGAAGGGGGGGAAGGGUCAACAUCGGUUGCGUGUGGCCAGAAGGGAUUGUGCGGGUUGACGGGGGAAAGGUAGUAAACUGGUCUGGGGGUUACCCUAGUCAGCUUAUGUUAUAGACCCCUGGCUGGACCCGCCUUUAUUUGCGCUCUAUGGCCGCGGCGACCGAGGAAUGCAGUGUGUUUUUAUCCUCUCGGGGAUUUAGGGUGGGUUGCAGGGAUGCGUUUUUUUUUUGUGGUGCUUCUGGGUGCUGGACAGCUUUGCUGACCAGUGCUGUUGCGUCAUACGUGAGCCCUGCAAGCUGACCAAGAAGCACUUUGGAUGUUGGCGAAAAGGCAUCAAUCGACCCGUCUUGAAACACGGACCAAGGAGUCCAACAUGCAUGCGAGUAUCUGGGAGAAUAUGUAAACCCAUGUGCGCAAUGAAAGUGAAAAACUUUAGAAUGUGACCUGCUGUGGCAGAGCAAUCUGCUUUGCGGGGCAACAUCGACCGACUUUAGAUAGCGCUGCUUGAAAAGGUUGAGUAAGAGCAUGUAUGCUGGGACCCGAAAGAUGGUGAACUAUGCCUGAAUAGGGUGAAGUCAGAGGAAACUCUGAUGGAAGCUCGUAGAGAUUCUGACGUGCAAAUCGAUCUCAGAAUUUGGGUAUAGGGGCAAAGACUA
rnacentral:rRNA from 1 species